AAGUCAUAACAAGGUUUCCGUAGGUGAACCUGCGGAAGGAUCAUUAAUAGUGCCCAUUGAUGCAAAUCAUUGGGUUAGAUCUGCCCUUAUCGCAAGAUGAGGGCUUCCAUAUACACCGUGAACUGUGGCUUCGGCCAUCACAAACUGUUAGUAAUGAAUGUAAUAUCAUAACAAAAACAAAACUUUUAACAACGGAUCUCUUGGCUCUCGCAUCGAUGAAGAACGCAGCGAAAUGCGAUAAGUAAUGUGAAUUGCAGAAUUCAGUGAAUCAUCGAAUCUUUGAACGCACCUUGCGCCCUUUGGUAUUCCGAAGGGCAUGCCUGUUUGAGUGUCAUGAAACCUCACCCCACUUAGGUUUUUGCCUAAGCGGUGGUGUAUUGGGUGUUUGCCUUGCUAAAGGCUCGCCUUAAAGAUAUAAGCACCUUGGAUGUAAUACGUUUCAUCCUUCUGGGUGGCUGAUAACCCCACAUAUUCAUGAUCUGGCCUCAAAUCAGGUAGGGCUACCCGCUGAACUUAAGCAUAUCAAUAAGCGGAGGAAAAGAAACUAACUAGGAUUCCCUUAGUAACGGCGAGUGAACCGGGAUGAGCUCAAAUUUAAAAUCUGGCGUCUUUCAGGCGUCCGAGUUGUAAUCUAUAGAGGCGUUUUCCGCGCCGGACCGCGUCCAAGUCUCUUGGAAUAGAGUAUCAAAGAGGGUGACAAUCCCGUACUUGACGCGACAACCGGUGCUCUGUGAUACGUUCUCAAU
rnacentral:sRNA from 1 species